CUCACAAACACACAUGCAGAAUGAGAGCUCAGGGCUUUUAGGGUUUCGCCAUGGAAUUCCUUCGUGCUCAGCAAAUAUGCCUGUCUUUGCUCCAUCGUGGUGGAUGUUCCCGAUCGAUCACUCACAGUUCCGGAAUGCCGAUGCUGGAGUGGUUGGCGGUUGGAUCGCUGCCACAGAGGUGAUCAGCGGGAUGCAUUGAGCUAGAUCCAUGCGUGUGUAGCGAGAGAGGGACAGAGAUUGAGACGCACGGGUGGUGGAUGCGUGGGGGGGUGGCGACAGAGGGAUCGGGUUUUGUUCUUGACGCGGGGAUUGAUUAGGAGGAGGAGGAGGAGGAGGAGCAGCAGAAAUUGUCGAGUAUUGAAUCACGUGAGCCAUGAAUUUUCUGUUGCGGAGCACACAGCCGAGUGUUCCGGAGCCCCCUCCUCCUGUAGUGGAGCCGACCAAGGGGGCAUUGGAGAGCGUUGCCUCCUGGCCUGGGGCGCUGUCAUCGGCGGGAGACUAUCACGACGAUUCCAGGCUGUUUCCUGGGUCUGCCAGGAUGAAGACUCGCAUGCCGAUCGAGGGUCACGCCGAUGUCGCACCUGCGGAUGGCUCCAUCUUGGUUCCCUUUCAGGAAUUGUCGGAGAACUGGUAUGAGGCUCCCAAUGUGGCAUCUCUUUUGACCUUGGAUCGCCCAUUUAUAUUUCCUGGAGAGCAGCUUCAUAUCAUCCUCCAUAUUUCGGUUCAUCACCCAGCGGAGUCUAGUAUCAUUACUCCUUUCAAGAUAGCUGCAGCUAUUGAGAAAGGAUCGCAGUAUGAAGACUAUGGAUCAGAUUCAGUCCAAGACUCUACAGAGAGCUCCCAGGAAAACCUUCAGGAGUUAGGGAAGAUCAAGACUCCGAAAUCGGCUAAAAGUUCCUUGAAAGGCAAGUGGUUCAAUACCACUCCAGGAGGCAAUCUUGUGGCAAUAACUGAAUGGCUCGAUGAACAACAAUCUGAGGACGAUGAUGGUUCAUCCGAAAGUCAAAAACGGAGAACUGCAUUGCUAUUAGAGAGUUUUCAAAAAUCUCAUUUUCAUGUCAAAGUUGGUAAAAGAGCUGAUGGAAUUGCAACAAAGCCUAAAGAUGGUGUGGGACGACCGGAGCAGAGCGAGGAGGACUUGUCAGAUGAGGAUGGUCCUGAUACAGAUAGUCCUGGCACUGCUUACGGAUGCAAACCUGUGGUAACAGAGGAUGGAAAAUUUGAACCAUUUACUACAGGGGGCUUAGCCAGAGGAGCAACUUCUUGCUGGUCGCUUAGAAAUGGUGAUGUCGUGGUUUUACUUCAAGUCACGAUGGCCUCAGAAUUCUUAUCAAACUCUGCAGAGCUUGAAGUUCUUCAGUACGAGCCCUAUGUAACGCCUCCCGCGUAUCCGAUGGACGAUCAGUUUCAAGAGAUGUCUAAGAAUCCUACUGAAGGGUUACUACAAUGGCUCUUGCCUUUAGAUCGACCAUCUUCUCCCCCUCCUCCUGCCUCCGCGCCUCAACCGGCUCUUACACCUAGUCCUUCAGGUAGACUGUCAUUCGCCGGUGGAGGUAAUUCAACGUUUUUUUCUUUUUCUCACGUUCGAAGUUCUUCAGUGGGGUCAAUAACGACCCCUGCUCCUCCUCCAGUGGUCACUUAUACACCACCUCCACCUCCUACUUAUGGUCCUGAGGAAUGGGGUCGCUUCUCAUUUGAGAAGGAUUCUCAAGGAGAAGUGGGUAGCGAAGGACUUCUUUCAUUUAGAGGAGCUGCGCUUGAACCUCAGCGCUUCUCAGCUCACGGUCUUUCAGGACCUUACGUCCCUGGAAAGAGGUGGAAGCGUACGUUGGCCAUUCUGCAGCCUGUGAGAUUGGAAUCAUAUUUCGCUGAUUGUAACACUCAGGAUCUCAUCUGCAUCCUUGUCGAGAAUUCAUUACCAGCUACAGGAAUGACGGCAGACGUUGUUAUCUAUGUUGACUCUGUUAGUAUUGUAUGUCAAUCUGCUUCGCCAGGGAGCUUGCCGCUGCCUGUUCCCAUUGCUUGUGUGGAGGUGGGGGAGGAUCAUAGCCUGCCAGGUCUUGCUCUCAGACCGGGUGAACAACACUCUUUCAUUUUGAGGCCUGUAAGUCAGGCAUGGUUGACCGGGAAGCAGCCUGCUGUGGAAGACGGCACACCUAGAUAUCGUUCUUCACAGGAUGGACAAGGUAUUGGGAACAUAAAAACGAGACGUGGUAGCAAUCAUGAGUCAGACUGUGGUGAAUAUGCUAUCCUUGUGUCGUGCCAUUGCAGUCACACAGAAUCAAGACUACACUUCAAGCACUCUCUCACUUGGCGGCCACGUCCGCCUCGAGAUUUGUUACUCUCCGUAGCUCUUGAAAAUUACUCUCCAGCAAAACUCUCUGGUGAAACUCUGGCUCAGCUUACACCUCAGGUGGUACGUGUGCAGGCAACGAACUUGACAUCACAAGACAUGAAUUUAACACUACUUGCACCCAGUUCAAUGGCUGGAUCCUCUCUCUCAAUUGUCUCCUUUCCAGGCAAUGAUACCCCAGUCGUUUCUAAAAGCAGCGAACAUCAGCAAUCACUGACAGUACGGGAAGUUCUUGCGAUGGAGGAUUCAGCAUCCGAAUCCAAGCUGAGUUCUCAACUGUCAUCUCGAAGAAUGUCUCUACCCCCAGUCCAGCCCAUGGAGAUGGUAUUGGGUAUAAAGCCAACAGUGUUGAAAGAGCGUAUAAUCUCUGAUUCGGAUGCUGCUGCUGAUAGUGGAUCUGCUCGAACUCAUCUUUGGUUGCAGAGCACUGUUCCACUUGGUCGGUUGCCCCCUCAUGCAACAACUGCGGUUCGAUGUGAGCUUCUUCCCCUCACAAGCGGCAUCAUCACGCUCGAUACCUUGCACAUUGCAACGAAUGAGCACGAUGCUUUGUACAUUCCAGAAAAUUCUUUGCAAGUUUAUUGCACAUCAAGCCUCGCAAGUGGCGUCUCAUGAUUGAUUUUACUUAAAUUAUUCAUUCAAUCGACAUUGACGCGUAUUCAACGAUAUAUAAUCAAAUCAUAGCACCACACUUCGCAGGAGUCACUGCAAUUUGAGGAUUUGAUUUGGAGGAUGCGUAUUCUAAAACCCUUGUAUCCUUUAGUAAGGAUAGUUAUGUACAUGCUUCUCCACAACACGGUCAUUGGGAGGGCUUUGGAAUUGAAGAAAUUUACGAUUUUGCCAGGGGCGAUGCUGUUUCCAAGCAUGCUUGCGUGAACAUUGAGCUCCUGACAUGCGAUGCCAAUUCGCUAGAAGGGUGCAUCAGAGGUAAACAUUAGCUUCCGAGCUCUGAUUAGACUCCUGAAAUUUGAGUAUGCACAUUCGGUGGUUUUUGAGAACAAUACACAGUUCAACUUCUUUUGAUGUUAUUUGACUGCUAAAGUCUGAACACAUAUGCACGUGCUCAAGUAACAUUUCUAUAGGUUUGCAUUUAGAUUAAAUUACACGUAGAAUUAAUUGAAUCCUUCAAAAGUUAACAAUAUUUAUUCAUAAUGCUUUUACAAUUUUUCUUACACUCA